GACGAACGCUGGCGGCGUGCUUAACACAUGCAAGUCGAACGGAAAGGCCCUGCUUUUGUGGGGUGCUCGAGUGGCGAACGGGUGAGUAACACGUGAGUAACCUGCCCUUGACUUUGGGAUAACUUCAGGAAACUGGGGCUAAUACCGGAUAGGAGCUCCUGCUGCAUGGUGGGGGUUGGAAAGUUUCGGCGGUUGGGGAUGGACUCGCGGCUUAUCAGCUUGUUGGUGGGGUAGUGGCUUACCAAGGCUUUGACGGGUAGCCGGCCUGAGAGGGUGACCGGCCACAUUGGGACUGAGAUACGGCCCAGACUCCUACGGGAGGCAGCAGGGGGGAAUAUUGCACAAUGGGCGGAAGCCUGAUACAGCAACGCCGCGUGCGGGAUGACGGCCUUCGGGUUGUAAACCGCUUUCGCCUGUGACGAAGCGUGAGUGACGGUAAUGGGUAAAGAAGCACCGGCUAACUACGUG
rnacentral:rRNA from 1 species